GACGAACCGUGCGAACGUUGUUCGGAAUCACUGGGCUUAAAGGGCGCGUAGGCGGGCCGCAAAGUCAGGGGUGAAAGCCUCCAGCUCAACUGGAGAAGUGCCUCUGAUACUGGCGGCCUCGAGGGAGAUAGGGGCGUGCGGAACUUCCGGUGGAGCGGUGAAAUGCGUAGAUAUCGGAAGGAACACCGGUGGCGAAAGCGGCGCGCUGGAUCUCUUCUGACGCUGAGGCGCGAAAGCCAGGGGAGCGAACGGG
rnacentral:rRNA from 1 species